rnacentral:rRNA from 1 species
GACGAACGCUGGCGGCGUGCCUAAUACAUGCAAGUUGAGCGAUGAAGAUUGGUGCUUGCACCAAUUUGAAGAGCAGCGAACGGGUGAGUAACGCGUGGGGAAUCUGCCUUUGAGCGGGGGACAACAUUUGGAAACGAAUGCUAAUACCGCAUAAUAACUUUAAACAUAAGUUUUAAGUUUGAAAGAUGCAAUUGCAUCACUCAAAGAUGAUCCCGCGUUGUAUUAGCUAGUUGGUGAGGUAAAGGCUCACCAAGGCGAUGAUACAUAGCCGACCUGAGAGGGUGAUCGGCCACAUUGGGACUGAGACACGGCCCAAACUCCUACGGGAGGCAGCAGUAGGGAAUCCUCGGCAAUAGACGAAAGUCUGACCGAGCAACGCCGCGUGAGUGAAGAAGGUUUUCGGAUCGUAAAACUCUGUUGGUAGAGAAGAACGUUGGUGAGAGUGGAAAGCUCAUCAAGUGACGGUAACUACCCAGAAAGGGACGGCUAACUACGUG